rnacentral:snoRNA from 1 species
UUGCUCUUACAUGAACAAGAUCUGUUCUAUAGGCUGGUACCGCUGCAUCCUUUACCGAUAAGGAGGCAAGCACUUCAGUCUGGUUGAUGGCAUUCUCACCUCUGAGCUAGAGCGUGAUUAACGGCCAGGAACCCCUCUGAUGGGUGCAUCCAACGGCUGUAGAAGAUCGCUCCUGAGUAUGUACAAAGAGUUUCACAUAGGUUUAUAUGAGGCUGGCA